CACGUAGGGACCAAGCGUUGUCCGGAUUCAUUGGGCGUAAAGAGCUCGUAGGCGGUUCGAUAAGUCGGGUGUGAAACCUCCAGGCUCAACCUGGAGACGCCACCCGAUACUGUCGUGACUAGAGUCCAGUAGGGGAGCGUGGAAUUCCUGGUGUAGCGGUGAAAUGCGCAGAUAUCAGGAAGAACACCAACGGCGAAGGCAGCUCGCUGGGACGGUACUGACGCUGAGACGCGAAAGCGUGGGGAGCGAACAGG
rnacentral:rRNA from 1 species